rnacentral:lncRNA from 1 species
GGGGACGAACUUCUGUAGAUGGAAGGACGUUAGGUGCGUCAGCAACCAAGUCACUUCAAUAAAUAUUGCUCCACAUCGGAACGCUACCUCCGGAUCUUAACUCCCUUUCCCAACUUACCUCGCUUUCUCUUUAGGGCAACGCCCUCUCUGGCGCGUUACCUUCCCCGGCCAACCUCUUAAUGCUGGAGACCGUAUUCCUCGGUGGCAACAUCUUCACCUUUAUUCCCGAGGGUUGGUUCCAGGGUCUCCGAAGCUUACGUAGCCUCAACUUGGC